rnacentral:rRNA from 1 species
CAGUCGUACUUACGGGUAAUCAGCCUUUUGGGUGUGAUUUUGUGGAGCGUGGGGUUUCAAAGAGCCUUUGUUUCUCCCGGCAUUCGCGUUCUUUUGGUGCACUUUCUCGUGUUUGUAGGUUAGCAUCGGUUUUGACCGUUAUAAAAUGAUCGGAGGGAUGUAGCUUCGAUUUCGAUUGAAGUGUUAUAACCUUUGGUAGAUGUGACUGUCGGGACCGAGGAUUGCAACGGAUACCCUAACGGGCUAUUCGUCAGGCCUCUG